UACGGAGGGAGCUAGCGUUGUUCGGAAUUACUGGGCGUAAAGCGCACGUAGGCGGCGAUUCAAGUCAGAGGUGAAAGCCCGGGGCUCAACCCCGGAACUGCCUUUGAAACUAGAUUGCUAGAAUCCUGGAGAGGCGAGUGGAAUUCCGAGUGUAGAGGUGAAAUUCGUAGAUAUUCGCAAGAACACCAGUGGCGAAGGCGGCUCACUGGCUCGGUACUGACGCUGAGGUGCGAAAGCGUGGGGAGCAAACAGG
rnacentral:rRNA from 1 species